rnacentral:rRNA from 1 species
GACGAAUGCUGGCUGCGUGCUUAACACAUGCAAGUCGAACGGUGAACCAGGGCUUGCCCUGGGGAUCAGUGGCGAACGGGUGAGUAACACGUGGGCAACCUGCCCCUCACUCUGGGAUAACUCCGGGAAACCGGGGCUAAUACCGGAUAUGACCUGGUGCGACAUCACACCAGGUGGAAAGAAUUUCGGUGAGGGAUGGGCCCGCGGCCUAUCAGCUAGUUGGUGGGGUAACGGCCCACCAAGGCGACGACGGGUCGCCGGCCUGAGAGGGCGACCGGCCACACUGGGACUGAGACACGGCCCAGACUCCUACGGGAGGCAGCAGUGGGGAAUAUUGCGCAAUGGGCGAAAGCCUGACGCAGCGACGCAGCGUGAGGGACGACGGCCUUCGGGUUGUAAACCUCUUUCAGCGGGGACGAAGCGAAAGUGACGGUACCCGCAGAAGAAGCACCGGCUAACUACGUGCCAGCAGCCGCGGUAAGAC